CCAAAGGCUCUUUUCAGAGCCACCUAAUUAUUCCAGCGGAAGUAG
rfam:Callithrix jacchus chromosome 4, whole genome shotgun sequence